rnacentral:rRNA from 1 species
GACGAACGCUGGCGGCGUGCCUAAUACAUGCAAGUCGAGCGGAGUUAUUCCUUCGGGAAUAGCUUAGCGGCGGACGGGUGAGUAACACGUAGGCAACCUGCCCACAAGUCUGGGAUAACAUUCGGAAACGAAUGCUAAGACCGGAUACGCAACUUGGUCGCAUGACUGGGUUGGGAAACACGGUGCAAGCUGUGGUUUGUGGAUGGGCCAGCGGCGCAUUAGCUAGUUGGUGAGGUAACGGCCCACCAAGGCGACGAUGCGUAGCCGACCUGAGAGGGUGAACGGCCACACUGGGACUGAGACACGGCCCAGACUCCUACGGGAGGCAGCAGUAGGGAAUCUUCCACAAUGGGCGAAAGCCUGAUGGAGCAACGCCGCGUGAGUGAGGAAGGCUUUCGGGUCGUAAAGCUCUGUUGCCAGGGAAGAAUAAGGGCCAUUUAACUGAUGGUCCGAUGACGGUACCUGAGAAGAAAGCCCCGGCUAACUACGUGCCAGCCGCCGCAGUAACAC